UACACUCCUACGGGAGGCAGCAGUGGGGAAUAUUGGACAAUGGGCGCAAGCCUGAUCCAGCCAUGCCGCGUGAGUGAUGAAGGCCCUAGGGUUGUAAAGCUCUUUCACCGGUGAAGAUAAUGACGGUAACCGGAGAAGAAGCCCCGGCUAACUUCGUGCCAGCAGCCGCGGUAAUACGAAGGGGGCUAGCGUUGUUCGGAUUUACUGGGCGUAAAGCGCACGUAGGCGGACUAUUAAGUCAGGGGUGAAAUCCCGGGGCUCAACCCCGGAACUGCCUUUGAUACUGGUAGUCUUGAGUUCGAGAGAGGUGAGUGGAAUUCCGAGUGGAGAGGUGAAAUUCGUAGAUAUUCGGAGGAACACCAGUGGCGAAGGCGGCUCACUGGCUCGAUACUGACGCUGAGGUGCGAAAGCGUGGGGAGCAAACAGGAUUAGAAACCCUGGUAGUCCC
rnacentral:rRNA from 1 species